AUUGAACGCUGGCGGCAGGCCUAACACAUGCAAGUCGCGCGGAGCGGCAGACGGGUGAGUAAUACCUAGGAAUCUGCCUGGUAGUGGGGGAUGACGUCCGGAAACGGGAGCUAAUACCACAUACUAUCAGAUGCACCUAGGUCGGCUUAGCUAGUUGGUGGGGUAAAGGCCUACAAAGGCGACGAUCCGUAACUGGUCUGAGAGGAUGAUCAGCCACACUGGAACUGAGACACGGUCCAGACUCCUACGGGAGGCAGCAGUGGGGAAUAUUGGACAAUGGGCGAAAGCCUGAUCCAGCCAUGCCGCGUGUGUGAAGAAGGUCUUCGGAUUGUAAAGCACUUUAAGUUGGGAGGCGUUACCAACAGAAUAAGCACCGGCUAACUUCGUGCCAGCAGCCGCGGUAAUUC
rnacentral:rRNA from 1 species